rnacentral:rRNA from 1 species
AGUUUAUUUGAUAAUUUUUUCUACUGGGAUAACCGUAGUAAUUCUAGAGCUAAUACCUGCAUAACGUCCCGACUUUACAGAAGGGAUGCGUUUAUUAGAUCGAAACCAAUACGGAGCAAUCCGCUUUAAGGUGAUUCACAAUAAGCAAGCAAAUCGCAUCGGCGCAAGCUAGGCGAUGAGUCAUUCAAGUUUCUGCCCUAUCAGCUGCGAUGGUACGGUAUUGGCCUACCAUGGCUUUGACGGGUGACGGAGAAUUAGGGUUCGAUUCCGGAGAGGGAGCCUGAGAAACGGCUACCACAUCCAAGGAAGGCAGCAGGCGCGUAAAUUACCCAAUCCCAACUCGGGGGGGUAGUGACAAGAAAUACUUUGGUGGAGCCUUCGGGUUCUGCCGUGGAAUGAGCACAAUUUAAAUCCCUUAGCGAGGAUCAAUUGGAGGGCAAGUCUGGUGCCAGCAGCCGCGGUAAUUCCAGCUCCUAUAGCGUAUAUUAAAAUUGUUGCAGUUAAAAAGCUCGUAGUUGGAUUUCUUUUAUGUUAAGAGGGUUUGGGAUUGUGUGCAUCUUUUUGGUGUAUACGUCCUUCCUCUUUCAUGAAACAUUUGUAUGUUGUUUCAACAUACAUCAUUUACUGUGAAAAAAUCAAAGCGUUCAAAGCAGGCUUUAUGCAAUGAAUGUCUCAGCAUGGAAUAAUAAUUUAAGCCAUCGUCUUAUUUUGUUGGUUUACAAGAUGAAGGAAUGUUUAAUAGGAUCAGUCGGGGAUAUCCGAACUUAGAAGUCAGAGGUGAAAUUCUUGGAUUUUCUAAAGUCGAACUACUGCGAAAGCAUUUAUCAAGGAUGUUUUCAUUAAUCAAGAACGAAAGUUUGGGGAUCGAAGAUGAUUAGAUACCAUCGUAGUCUAAACCAUAAACUAUGCCGAUUCGGGAUCGUCUUAUGAUAAUAAAUGUCAAAGGCGGCACCGUACGCGAAAGCAAAAUCUUUGGGUUCUGGGGGGAGUAUGAUCGCAAGGUUGAAACUUAAAGGAAUUGACGGAAGGGCACCAUCAGGCGUGGAGCCUGCGGCUCAAUUUGACCCAACUCGGGAAAACUUAGCAGGGCAGGACAAAAUAAGGAUUGACAGAUUGAGAGCUCUUUCUUGAUUCUUUGGGUGGUGGUGCAUGGCCGUUCUUAGUUGGUGGAGUGAUUUGUCUGGUUAAUUCCGUUAACGAACGAGACCUCAACCUAUUAAAUAGUAUAACCAUUCUUACGGAUGGGGAUUACUUCUUAGAGGGACUUUUCGAUUUUAUCGGAAGGAAGUUUGAGGCAAUAACAGGUCUGUGAUGCCCUUAGAUGUCCUGCGCCGCACGCGCGCUACAAUGACCAGUUCAAUCGGUAAUUCCUUGGUCGAGAGGCCUGGGUAAUCCUAGAACUCUGGUCGUGAUGGGGCUAGAUUUUUGCAAUUAUUAAUCUUCAACGAGGAAUGCCUAGUAAACGCAAGUCAUCAUCUUGCAUUGAAUACAUCCCUGCCCUUUGUACACACCGCCCGUCGCAUCUACCGAUGAAUUUUGCGGUGAAGUCUUGGGAGCC